UUGAACCGAAACCGCCGAGCCCGCUGAGUGCGGUUUGAGUUUUGUGGUGCCGCGCAGCCCUAGGAUUUUGGCUUAGUAACUGCAAUGUGAGGGCGCGUCGGUAGGCACUUCAGGGCUGUUUUUAUAUGUGGCAUAUGAAGGUGAUGGGUUAGUACCCUUGCAGUCCUCUGGGUUUGAUUUAACUGAUCUGAAAAGCAAUAUGGGGUGCCCCAGAGCGUGGGAGGGCUAGGUUCUGCGGGCUGUACCUACAUCCAAAUGGUAAUUAUAAUAAGAACGGAAGAGUUUGGAUAGAUUAUAGAACGCCAACCAGGAAACUUUCAACAUCUGUGGAACUAGGAGCUCCGGAGACUCAAGUUCUCGGGAAUUAUAAAUGAAGAGACCUCUUUGUAAAGGAGUCCAGAUGUCUAAGAAGAAAUACGUAAUACGCUGAUGCAUAUUACUUCCCAUUCUACCUCUCCAGAGAAUGUCCACACUUCAGGAACCAGACUGCUUCCAUGUGCAGCCAAAUGGCACCAAGCUCCAUGAGGACAGAAGCUCCUUUGUUUGGGACCUUGCCCUCUGUAUCCCUUCGUCCGCCUGUUGGUUCAUAUUCUUUAUCAUAACCUUCAGUAAAGUGGUAAACGUGA